rnacentral:piRNA from 1 species
UUGCUGUGUUGAACACUUGCUCCCGUCUA